GGGGGAAGACGCCCCUUAGGGUUUUAAACCGUUUUCCGCCAGGAAGAAAUUGCCGGUCCCUGCAGAAGAAGGUGCGGCCAAAUUACGUGCCCAGCAGCCGCGGUGACACGUAGGCCCCCAAGCGUUAUCCGGAUUUAUUGGGCGUAAAGAGCUCGUAGGCGGUUCGGUAAGUCGGGUGUGAAAACUCUGGGCUCAACCCAGAGAUGCCACCCGAUACUUGCUGUGACUAGAGUGCAGUGGGGGAGUGGGGAAUUCAUGGUGUAGCGGUGAAAUGCGCAGAUAUCAUGAGGAACACCAGUGGCGAAGGCGCCACUCUGGGCUGUAACUGACGCUGAGGAGCGAAAGCGUGGGUAGCAAACAGGAUUAGAUACCCUGGUAGCCCACGCCGUAAACGUUGGGCACUAGGUGUGGGUCUCAACCAACGAGAUCCGCGCCGUCGCUAACGCAUUAAGUGCCCCGCCUGGGGAGUACGGUCGCAAGACUAAAACUCAAAGGAAUUGACGGGGGCCCGCACAAGCAGCGGAGCGUGUUGCUUAAUUCGAUGCAACGCGAAGAACCUUACCUGGGUUUGACAUGUACCGAAAAGCUCUAGAGAUAGGGUGUCCUUCGGGGCGGUACACAGGUGGUGCAUGGCUGUCGUCAGCUCGUGUCGUGAGAUGUUGGGUUAAGUCCCGCAACGAGCGCAACCCUUAUCCUAUGUUGCCAGCAAGUCAUGUUGGGGACUCGUAGGAGACUGCCGGGGUCAACUCGGAGGAAGGUGGGGAUGACGUCAAGUCAUCAUGCCCCUUAUGCCCAGGGCUGCAAACACGCUACAAUGGCCGGUACAGAGGGCUGCGAUCCCGCGAGGGUGAGCGAAUCCCACAAAGCCGGUCUCAGUUCGGAUUGGAGUCUGCAACUCGACUCCAUGAAGCCGGAGUUGCUAGUAAUCCUGGAUCAGCACGCCAGGGUGAAUACGUUCCCGGGCCUUGUACACACCGCCCGUCACAUCACGAAAGUCGGCAACACCCGAAGCCGGUGGCCCAACCCUUUUGGGAGGGAGCCGUCGAAGGUGGGGUCGGUAAUUGGGAUGAAGUCGUAACAAGGUAGCCGUACCGGAAGGUGCGGCUGGAUCACCUCCU
rnacentral:rRNA from 1 species